UACGGGGGGGGCAAGCGUUGUUCGGAAUUACUGGGCGUAAAGGGCUCGUAGGCGGCCAACUAAGUCGGAUGUGAAAUCCCCAGGCUCAACUUGGGAACUGCAUCCGAUACUGGAUGGCUUGAAUUCGGGGAGAGGGAUGCAGAAUUCCAGGUGUAGCGGUGAAAUGCGUAGAUAUCUGGAGGAAUACCGGUGGCGGAGGCGGCAUCCUGGACCGACAUUGACGCUGAGGAGCGAAAGCUAGGGGAGCAAACGGG
rnacentral:rRNA from 1 species